rnacentral:rRNA from 1 species
CAGCAGCCGCGGUAAUACGUAGGGUGCAAGAGUUAAUCGGAAUUACUGGGCGUAAAGCGUGCGCAGGCGGUUAUAUAAGACAGAUGUGAAAUCCCCGGGCUCAACCUGGGAACUGCAUUUGUGACUGUAUAGCUAGAGUACGGCAGAGGGGGAUGGAAUUCCGCGUGUAGCAGUGAAAUGCGUAGAUAUGCGGAGGAACACCGAUGGCGAAGGCAAUCCCCUGGGCCUGUACUGACGCUCAUGCACGAAAGCGUGGGGAGCAAACAGGAUUAGAUACCCCGGUAGUCCCUGUCUCUUAUAC